GGCGGUGGGCACCUGGAAUGCCAGCUACUUGGGAGGCUGAGGCAGGAGAAUCGCUUGAAUCCAGGAGGCGGAGGUUGCAGUGAGCUGAGAUCGCACCACUGCACUCCAGCCUGGGUGACAGAGAGAGACUCUGUCUCAAAAAAAAGAAAGAAAAAAAAGAAAAAAAGAACU